UGGGGAAUUUUGCACAAUGGGCGCAAGCCUGAUGCAGCGACGCCGCGUGAGGGAUGAAGGCCUUCGGGUUGUAAACCUUUUUCGCUCAUGGUCAAGCCGCAGCUUUGGGUUGUGGUGAGGGUAGUGGGUAAAGAAGCGCCGGCUAACUACGUGCCAGCAGCCGCGGUAAUACGUAGGGCGCGAGCGUUGUCCGGAAUUAUUGGGCGUAAAGGGCUUGUAGGCGGUUGGCCGCGUCUGCCGUGAAAUCCUCUGGCUUAACUGGGGGCGUACGGUGGGUACGGGUUGACUUGAGUGCGGUAGGGGAGACUGGAAUUCCUGGUGUAGCGGUGGAAUGCGCAGAUAUCAGGAGGAACACCGGUGGCGAAGGCGGGUCUCUGGGCCGUUACUGACGCUGAGGAGCGAAAGCGUGGGGAGCGAACAGG
rnacentral:rRNA from 1 species